AUUUUGAAUCUGGCGGUCAUUUCGGCCGUCCGAGUUGUAAUCUAGAGAAGCGUCUUCCGCGCUGGACCGUGUACAAGUCUCCUGGAAGGGAGCGUCAUAGAGGGUGAGAAUCCCGUCUUUGACACGGACUACCAGUGCUAUGUGAUGCGCUCUCGACGAGUCGAGUUGUUUGGGAAUGCAGCUCAAAAUGGGUGGUAAAUUCCAUCUAAAGCUAAAUACAGGCGAGAGACCGAUAGCGAACAAGUACCGUGAGGGAAAGAUGAAAAGAACUUUGGAAAGAGAGUUAAACAGUACGUGAAAUUGCUGAAAGGGAAACGCUUGAUGUCAGUCACGUUCGCCAGGGAUCAACCUUGCUUUAUCGCUGGGUGCAUUUCUUGGUCGGACGGGUCAGCAUCAGUCUCGAUCGUCGUAGAAUGGUCAAGGGAACGUGGCACCUCUAGGGGUGUGUUAUAGCCCUCGAUCGUAUGCGUCGGUGGGGACUGAGGAACUCGGCACGACCUUUACUGGUCUGUGUCUAGGAUGCUGGCAUAAUGGCCUUAAGCGACCCGUCUUGAAACACGGACCAAGGAGUCUAACAUGCCUGCGAGUGUUUGGGUGGAAAACUCGAGCGCGCAAUGAAAGUGAAAGUCGAGAUCUCUGUCAUGGAGAGCAUCGACGCCCGGACUCGAGUCUUUGACGAAGGAUCUGCGGUAGAGCAUGCAUGUUGGGACCCGAAAGAUGGUGAACUAUGCCUGAAUAGGGUGAAGCCAGAGGAAACUCUGGUGGAGGCUCGUAGCGAUUCUGACGUGCAAAUCGAUCGUCGAAUUUGGG
rnacentral:rRNA from 1 species